ACAGAGUGGAGUGAAUCAAUCAUCCUGUCAGUAUCUGCAGCUGUGUCCGGUCCCUUCAGCUCUCUUAUCUUGUGGAUCAUUGUACCAGUUUCUGGGAUCGUUCUUGUUGUUCUGCUCCUCCUGUUGUGGCGCUGCAGUCAGUCCAGAGGUUUAUUCUGCUUCAGGCACUCAGAGAGGAGCAAUCAGAUUGAGAUUCAUGAAUACAACUCUCCCUGUGAAGACUUCACUGCAACUUAUGCUGAGAUAAACCAUCAAACCAAAGCCAAGAAGAAGAAGAAGAAGAAGGGAAAGCGGAGCUCUGAAACAGCAGAGCCGACAGUUUACUCUGGGAUCAGAUCAGGAGCAGCUCUGGACAACACUGGCCUGUAGGCUGCAGGCUGUCCUGCUGUAGAAUGGGAUUUAUCUACCAGUUAAACUCAUAACAACAUUCUCACAUCAUUUACUGUAUUGU